AUCUAGCUGAGGAGCCCCAAAUAGGACAAUACGUGCGUCCUGGAU
rnacentral:hammerhead_ribozyme from 1 species